CCUACGGGAGGCAGCAGUGGGGAAUCUUGCGCAAUGGGCGAAAGCCUGACGCAGCAACGCCGCGUGCGGGAAGAAGGCUUUCGGGCUGUAAACCGCUUUCAGCAGGAACGAAAAUGACGGUACCUGCAGAAGAAGGAGCGGCCAACUAUGUGCCAGCAGCCGCGGUGAUACAUAGGCUUCAAGCGUUGUCCGGAUUUAUUGGGCGUAAAGAGUUCGUAGGCGGUCGAGUAAGUCGGGUGUGAAAAUUCUGGGCUCAACCCAGAGACGCCACCCGAUACUGCUUGACUUGAGUUCGAUAGGGGAGUGGGGAAUUCCUAGUGUAGCGGUGAAAUGCGCAGAUAUUAGGAGGAACACCGGUGGCGAAGGCGCCACUCUGGAUCCGAUACUGACGCUGAGGAACGAAAGCAUGGGUAGCAAACAGGAUUAGAUACCCUGGUAGUCCAUGCCGUAAACGGUGGGCACUAGGUGUGGGUUUCUAUUAACGAAAUCCGCGCCGUCGCUAACGCAUUAAGUGCCCCGCCUGGGGAGUACGGUCGCAAGCUAAAACUCAAAGGAAUUGACGG
rnacentral:rRNA from 1 species